GGACCCCGGUGUAGUUCUCGAAGAAGAAGAGCACCAUGUUCUGGUAGACGCAGUAAAGCCGGUCGUCCACGCGCUGGUACAGGCGGGCGGGCAUCAGCGCGGAGAGCACCCGCCACAGCGUCCAGGCCAGCAGGUAGGUGGGCGCCGAGCCCAGCAACAGGACGCUGGGGAGCAGGUAGCGCAUAGAGUACGUGUGGAGCACCAGGGACAGCAGCAUCCUCUCGGCUCGCCAGCCGCGACUCCGCCUGCGUUGCCCGCGCGGCCACCAGGACCUCAGCCACCGCCGGCCGCCCGCCAAUCACUGCGCGGGGCCGGCCGCGCCGCCGCCCUCCGCCCUGGCUCCGCCCCCAGCAUGGGCCGCGGGGGCCCGGGACCCGGCGGGGACAGUGACGGCCUCUGCUCGCCGCCUUGGAAAGGGCACGCCUCGGCUUGCCGGGCGCACUCGCCUCGGGGUGCUCGCUUUGCUCCGCGCGACCCGUGCUUGUCAGCGGGGAGGCGGGGUGAAGCAAGGCUCCCGGGUAAUAAGGCGCCUCCUGAUUGGCCGACUUAUGGGCGUAAUACGUGUUCUGAUUGGCUCGGUCCCUUGGCCUCGUCACGACGCAUGCUCGACUGCGAAUGCUGGCUGGGGAUGAGCCCGGGAAGAAGUGAGGUGGUGGGUUUUGGCCUGUGCUGGCGUGCGAGAGCUGCGUGGAGACACGAGGAUGCUUCCUGCAAGACACGCGUGAGCCGACUAAGUCGUGGAGCACAGGAGGAGCUCGAUGCCGCAGGUUAUGGACAACUGCAGCGUCUUCGCGUGCCGGAGGGCCACCCGUGCCCCCACGUGCAUAGGAAGCACACCUUCCCUCCUCUUGGCUGUUGCAGAAUGAGGCUGGGUCCGUCUCCUGUACCCUUGGUUCACCUUUCACGGGACUGUCACCUCCUUGUAUUAAAUCUUUCAAAGCCUUAACUUUUGCCCUUUAAUAACCUCUUGCUCUUUAACUUGUUUCUACUGUGCGUUUUCCUAAUAUCCUACAUUUCUUCUUUUCAAUGUGUAGGAAAGUAUUUCCCUAUACAUGUAGGAUCCAUAAGUUCUCUUCCCUCCAGAAAACUAGAAUAGUUAAGUAACAGCAAAAACUUAUCCAGGGGCCCAGGUCCUUUCACUGCCCUAACUAGUGGAGACCAGAUAAUUCUAUACAAGAAGGUAUAGAAGGAAACAGGUCAGUGCGCACGCUCAGAUCUGUAUAAAGUACGUUUUAAAUAUGUGGGUGUGUGUGUGUGUGUUGGUUUCUCUAAGUGACCCUAAGGUCACUUAUUCUGCCCCUAGUUUUCUCCCUUUCCACACCACUGACGCCUGUGUCUCUGCUUCCUUGCCUUGGAUUUCCCUUCAUCUUUUGCCCCAUGUUUCUUUCCCAUCACCUCUGAGAUGCGCUUCAUAAGGCAUACAGGUGACUCCUGUCAUUAGCACACUAUGUCAGAUGGACGUGCUUAGGAGUUUACACGAUAUCAGAAUGUAUUGAAUGACAAUAAAUUUCACUAAGUACAGUGGCUUCGCUGGCACCAGAGAGGCCCACUUUACUCUGUAGCCCUUGCUAAGGGAAACACAGGUUCUUUUAUUGCAGUCUUAAUUACUAAUAUUAACUCUCAGAUCACACAUACAUCACUCUGUAAGUAUAUCUCUGUUUACAUAUGCAUAUAUAGGUUACAGUGACUACAAAGAGUUAGAAAGAAGAAAGGAGUUUUAAAAGCCUUGGGAAGCCAGUGCUGGAGAACUGACAGGGCUAUAAGAGUGUCUGUCACGAUAACAUGAACCACAAACCCAGCUUUAGGGGAAAAGCAGCUGUUGGUGGGUCACAGAUAUGACAAACUGUCCAGUUUAAUGAAGAUGCAGAGGUAAAAGGGCAGGCAAAGGAACUGUCAAGACAAUUCACUGUCAGUUCAGCAGACCAGUCCAGACAAAGGAAUUGUUUGACAGAUAGACUGUAGAUUCAGAUUGGCAAACAAGAGUUCAGGAAGACAGGAAUUGAGGUACACAUCAAAAAAGAAGGGACUGAGCCAACCUGAAGGUCUCUGGAAAUUCAGGGGUUCUCUCUCUGUUGGCCUAUGACAUUCUGCAAAUAGUCAGAUGAUCCAUUUGUGGGAGCAUUUACUUGACAAUGUUAAGAGUCAACUUUUGUCAACAGAAAAACAAGGUACCUGAGGGCCCCCUCUCCUUUCCCAACCAUAAAGUUUCAAUUUUCUAGGAAUGUCUGUAGAAAUUACAUUUGUAAGGAAAGGACAUGUGGCUUUUCCCUUAUCAGAUUAUAACCCUGUCUAAAACGUCUCUGGGGCCACCUCAUGUUUUAUCAGAAGAGAGGAGACAGUAAGAUGGUUCUGAACAUCUGUACUCAGGAUUGACAAACCUUAGUGAUUACAGAGCCCAUGUGGUGGAAGGAGAAAGUGAAUUGGAGAUUGUCCUGUGACCUCUACAGGUGUCCAUGGCAUGCACCCAUACACACAGAUAGCUGUAAAACUAGACAAAUAGGAAGGUGUUCUGGUGACUCUUAGAUGCACAAUCUGAGAACCACUAUAGCUUAUCUGGAUAAUACUAACAAUGUGAGCCUGUGUGUUUUUUUUAACC
rnacentral:lncRNA from 1 species